rnacentral:rRNA from 1 species
ACGCUCGACACCUACGGGAAGCAGCAGUGGGGAAUAUUGCACAAUGGGGGAAACCCUGAUGCAGCGACGCCGCGUGAGCGAAGAAGUAUUUCGGUAUGUAAAGCUCUAUCAGCAGGGAAGAAACUGACGGUACCUGACUAAGAAGCACCGGCUAAAUACGUGGCAGCAGCCGCGGUAAUCUGAGCGGGCUGGCAAGGC